AUCUCAGAGCAGGUGAGGCUACCCGCAGAAUUUAAGCAUAUCACUAAGCGGAGG
rnacentral:rRNA from 1 species